rnacentral:misc_RNA from 1 species
AUUACAUCAUAUUAGCUGUUUCUCCACUUUUAAAUGGAAUGUAAUAUCUAAAGACAUUUACAUAAAAUGUACAAAAAAAAAAAGAGUUGAACUUGUACAAAAUCAUACAAUAUAAGGAGCUUUUUUUGCAGAAGCUUGCAAGAACUGCUCACAAUAUGAAGGUCUUAAUAAUAGUCAUUUUAUGAUCAUUCAUCCACAGUUAUACGACGCGUCCACGCUAAUCUCUCACUUCACCUCAAAAUUUACCCCUUCAAAACUAAGCUAAUCCCUAUACAUAAGAAAUCACAUAGGUCUGAUGUUAAAGAGACUGCGUUACUACAUACCUCCUUUUGGUAAUCAAGGUGAGGGGAUCACGAAAGAAAAAAAGCCUAACGCUUUUGCAACGAAGACAUUACUAUGAUCCUCUUUCGAGGAUAUUCAUGCUUCCGAGCUUAAAAAAAGACAUGACCUCGGUGCCAAGAAAGGGCAACUCCAGUAUCGGUCUAUUGGAGGGGUAUAAAGAGUAUGUCAUCAUUGGAGUUUUUAGCCAUGACGAAUGCCCAAGAAGUAGUUAAAGUCAUGGUGCUGGACCCCUAAUUGCUUUAGCCAAGAGUCGGCCACGCUUAAUAGUGACACCAUCCUCUCUUGGUCCCUCCCACUUCUGUCUGAAAUCCAAACAUUACCCUGCAUCUUGUAAGUUCCCAAACCGAAAGGUGGAAGUGGGAUUGCUUCCCCUUCGUUACGUUUCCUAAUACCUUUCUCUGUGUUAUCUUCAAGGUCCAUAUCUUGAAAAGAA